UCCGGCGACCGGCGCACGGGUGCGUAACGCGUAUGUAACUACCUAUAACAGGGGCAUAACACUGAGAAAUUGGUACUAAUUCCCCAUAAUAUUCGGAGAGGCAUCUCUCCGGGUUGAAAACUCCGGUGGUUAUAGAUGGACAUGCGUUGUAUUAGCUAGUUGGUGAGGUAACGGCUCACCAAGGCGACGAUACAUAGGGGGACUGAGAGGUUAACCCCCCACCACUGGUACUAAGACACGGACCAG
rnacentral:rRNA from 1 species